rnacentral:rRNA from 1 species
CAGUAGCAUCAUAACACCUUGAACAUACCCAAUCAUAUUUGAUUUCAGAAGCUAAGUAGGGUCAGAUCUUGUUAGUAUAUGGAUCAGAUAACACCAGAAAAGAUCGGGGAUCUUCAGGU